rnacentral:lncRNA from 1 species
AUGGUGAUUAGUAUAAUUAUAUAGUAUAGUGAUUAGUGUAGUCGUAUGAACGUUCUAGUCGGAUGUUACAUAGGCGCGACGGCGCGGAGCGCGGUUGAGUGAUAACCAAUUAAAAUGCCUGGAAUAUAGUGUUUACUAGAUUUAAUGUAUUUUGAUCAGUUUCCGCGUAACCGCGCCUAUGUAAACCCGCCGAACUGAAAUAUAAAAAACCAGGUCUGAAAAACCCACCGUUAGAUGUCAUUCCAUGGUAGCGUUCCGAAAUUAGCUCGCAGUGAUAUAAACUCCCUAGAACAGAGGCAGAGCACUCACGAACUCGGCAACGCAAUGGGUACUUCUAUUUACAUGACUUUUGUGUCGACUUGUGUCAACUCGUGUCGACUCUCGAAAACGAAUAAAUGGAACAUCACACAUUUGCGCGAGAGUUGAUGCGCACGACACAGCAAGGUAAAAAUGUGAAAAGAAUGGUAUCAACAAAUUUAAGCUUUGCGAUGAGUAAAUAAAAAUAUGGCAGAGUCUUUAUUAGCUAUCCUGAUGAAUGAAUCCAGUAGUAGUAGCAGCAGCAGCAGUUCAGAUUCUUCAAGCGAUGAUGGUUUCAACCCGCUGUUAGAAGAUGACUACGAAAAUGAUCUUUUAUUCCCCUUCUCCACUUUCUAAUGGAGGGACGUGAACGACAGCGUGUGCGAAAUUUUCUCAAUACAGUUCAAGCUAAAAGCAAUGAGGAGUUUAAGGAAGAUUUCAGAUUGGAGCGGCCAAUUGUUAACAUAUUAUUGGAAAGUUUGGAAAAUAGUGGAUUCAUUCCAAUCCAUACCUUUGGAAAGGAAAAGAAACCUGCUGAAUUGUGUUUAUUAAUGACACUUUGGUUUCUCGGGAACAAGGAGUCACAUAGGUUACUGUCAAAUUUCUUUGAUAUUUCAUUUUCACCUGUAUUUCGCAUAGUGCGAAGAGUCAUUGAUUGGCUCAUUACACUUGUUCCUCAGUUCAUUAAAUGGCCAGAAGGAAAUAACGUUGUGGGAAUAUCUGAGAGAUUUGAAAAUGUAACAGGUAUUUGUGGUUGCAUUGGUGCAAUAAAUGGUUCUGAUAUUCACAUUAAUAAGCCAGAAGGAAAUGGUAGGGUAUAUUUCAACAGGAAAUAACAUUAUUCUAUUCUACUGCAAGCUGUGGUUGACUGCGACCUAAAAUUUACGAAUGUAUAUUGCGGAUUUUCACGAUGCCAGAAUGUUAAGAAGAUCCGAUCUAUUUGUAGUAGCCGAACAGAAUCACGAAAGAAUUUUUCCUAACAAUAGCUUUUUAUUAGGCGAUAAAGGAUAUAAUGGUGUAGCACAAACGUGGCUGGCUUGUCUUUUUCGGGACAACGGAAAUUUAACAGUUCAAGAAGAUGAGUUCAACACGAAAAUUUAUCAAACACGUGUAGUAGUCGAACGAGCCUUCGGCAUUCUUAAGGGUCGUUUUCGUUUAUUGCAAAUGAUGCCACUUUGAGAUAUUCAAUUCAUGAUACGUUUUUUUGUCGCAUGUUGCAUAUUGCACAAUAUUUGUUUUAUUAAUGGAGAUAAUGGGGAAGGUUUCUUCAAUGACGAACUUGAUCAACAAUGGAAUGACAUAUCAGAUAAUGAAGAUGUAAAUGAGGACAGGGAUGUUCCACAAAGAGACCCAAGAAAUCUUCGGGGAUACUUGUUCAACAAUAUGUUUCCAGAAAAUCUGUAAUUAGAAAUUGAGAGUUCGAAUCCAAUGAUAUUCCGAUGACUUGAUUUACUAAUAUAUAAAUGUAAGCAAUAGAAGUAUAAUUCAAAAUUUAUUUGCUACAUAUUUGACGGAACUUAUUUUUCCAAAAUUGUAUCAUAUGAACUCCAUUUCAUCUUCAUGAAAUUGUAUAUUAUAUAAAUGUAAGCAGUAGAUGUAUAAUUUAAAAUGUAUAUGCUAAAGAUAUGAUGCUGCAUAACUGUAAGUUAUAAUAGGGGUAUAAAUUGAGUAGAUUUUGUAUAAAAAGGUUUUUUUCUUUUGUCUUUGGGCAGAAACAAUGAUAUCAUCUUAGGGUUUAAGUACAUAAAAACUGGUUUGAUAAAACUAUAAGUAUUAAGUACAAGCAUGAAACUAUAGAUAUUAAAAUACUAUAAGUCGAUAACAAAACUAUAAAAUACAUUUAAAGUCUUGAAGGAGUUGACCGUUUUAAUCAAUAAAGCACUCUAACUUGUAACAGUCUUGUUUUGAUCAAGAAUACAAUAACAGUACACGUACAUAACUAUGAGUAUUAACUACAAGCACGAAACUAUUGGUAUUAAAAUACUAUACACUCUGUGACAAAACUAUGAAAUACAUUCAGUCUUGAAAGAG